UAACAAUUAAAAUGAACAUAAAAAGCACAGUAUUAUGGCAAGUAUGGCCCCUUACAGGAUAACAAAAGGUAAGUAAAUAUAGAAACAUAGAAUGUGAUGGCAGAUAAGAACCAUUUGGCCCAUCUAGUCUACCCAAUUUUCUAAAUACUUUCAUUAGUACCUGGCCUUAUAUUAUAGCUAGGAUAGCCUUAUGCAUAACCUAUGCAUGCUUAAACUCCUUCACUGUGUUAAUCUCUACCAUUUCAGCUGGAAGGAUAUUCCAUGCAUCCACUACCGUCUCAGUAAAGCAAUACUUCCUUAUAUUGUUUUUAAACAUUUGUCCCUCUAAUUUAAGACUAUGUCCUCUUGUUGUGGUAGUUUUUCUUCUUUUAAAUAUAGGCUCCUCCUUUACUGUGAUGAUUCUCUUAAUGUAUUUAAAUGUUUCAAUCGUAUCCUCCCGUCUCGUCUUUCCUCCAAGCUAUAUAUGUUAAGAUCCUUUAACCUUUCCUCGUAAGUUUUAUCCUGUAAUCCAUGAACCAGUUUAGUAACCCUUCUCUGAACUCUCUCCAAAGUAUCAAUAUCCUUCUGGAGAUACGGUUUCCAGUACUGCGUACAAUACACCAGUGUUCUAUACAAUGGCAUGAGCACUUCUCUCUUUUUACUGCUAAUACCUCUCUCUAUACAACCAAGCAUUCUGCUAGCAUUUCUGCCGCUCUAUUACAUUGACUGCCUACAUUUAAGUCAUCUGAAAUAAUUACCCCUAACUCCCUUUCCUCAGAUGUUGAGUGCUGCUACUCACAAGCGCCUCUGUUGCCAACGCAACUUGGUAGCUCUUGCUGCUGGGGAUCGAAGUCUGUAAUUCCUCCGAAGGGAAAGCAGAUUUCAGACCACACGAUCAUUUUAGCACAGUGCUCCAAAACGUGUGUUUACGCAUAGCUUGAAAAUAUAUACUUGCCACCGGUAAUGCACCCCCUGCAGCCUUUGACACAGAUGCUGCAUAAUCCCCUAUGCAUAACAGGGAACUCCACCUUUUAGAUCCCCCACUGGGACUUAGAUGUGUUCUGUGACUGGGGACCCCUGACUCAUAUUUCUGGAAGUCAGGACCCCUGAAUUUUUCUGUGUGAACAUUUAUCCAUGUGAGUAUUUUUCAUGAAAGCAUUUACGACAGUGGAGUUUUUAUCUAUGUGAGCCAUUUUGCAUGUGGGUAUUUUUCUUGUGAGCAUUCAUGACAAUGGGGGUUUACUGUAGGGAAUUUUCAUGUGGGUUUUGUACAUGUGGCCACUUAUACAUUUCUUUGGCAAGUUGGCUUUGCCUGUACACAACAGUUUCUUAAUGCUCUGACUAAAAUUACUGUAAUACGUUUGUCUUCCAUACAGUAAUGGAAAAAGAUUUUAUGAGUAAUGGUAACAUUAGGAAUUGUUGUUUUUUUUUUACCAUAAAUACAUGACUUCAAACCAAUAAACCUCAUUACACCACUACUAUAAUGAAGCCAAAUAUAACAUAAUGCAUGUUCUAUGAAUUAAAAUGUUAGUGUGUAAAUGUCACACAAAUACACACAUAAAAUAUGGUUUGAGGUAAUAGGGAAUAGAAAUGCCAAUUUCUACCAAAUCUAUGAAUUAUAUGAUUAUUAUUAGUUGUAACUUUUGUAAAAAAAAUUUCAAGGAUUUCCCAUUACUGAAUGCUGCUCUCAGCAUUAGCAAAGAUGGCUGCAUCAGCCAUAUAGUAGGGACCAGCAGCAGUUUUUAGGCAAGUCUUUAUUUAAAUCUGUACAUUUGUUAAACAUCUUGCUAACAUAAUGUAUGGAUUAAAUUUGAAUAUGUCGUACUUGCGUUUUGUGUGGGGCGGGUAAACUUUAUAAAUUAAUGAAGUGCACAUUUUCAGUUGAAAUUUUAUGGGAAUUAAAAUAAUUUAAUUUUUUUUAGCAGAGCUACUCGUUUUUAUGAGAACAUAUUUUAGUUCAUAUUCCAAAAUUCCAUAUUUUCAUGGUCUUAAUUAUUGGUGCAAUAAUAGGUGUAAAAAACUAUUUCUAUUUACAAGCAGGUUGUCAGACAUGGUUGAUAGUUUGAGCAGGAUAUGUUCAAACAAGCACUACCUAAGGACAGCAGUAGAUAUAAUAGACUUUCUAAACUUUGCUGUUCAUAUUUUCUAAGCAGCAAGUUGCACCACAUGAGUUGUCUGAAGUGAAGUUGUGUAAAAACAAUACAAUAAACAUGGUACAUAGAUCGGUGAUUGGGGCAUUGGAUUGUAGUUGACAAUUCCUAAAGUUGAUAAAUGUACACAAAAAUGAUGAAACAGUAACAUCCACUGAGCACUAAUUGUCUUAUCUUUUUGGUCCUAUGGUCUGGUACAGAAAUGAAGCUUGACCAAGCACCAUGUAAAAUGAAACAUAAAAUACAUCCAUGCUAAUACGUGAUAAUUUAUCUUGUUAAUGUUGAUAAUACUACCCAGGAUAAACAAUACACAGUGACACAGAGCAUGCCAAAAUGGCAAAAAACAACAGAUAACCAUUUGAGUGAUACUGAGAAAUAUUUUGGUUUAUGACAGUGUCUUAUGAAUAAUGUCAUUUUGAAAUUAGUCUGAAAAGAUUGAAAUACCACUACUUUUUUGAUGAUGUGUAAAUUUGUUCUGCACUCCAAUUAAUUUAUUAUAAUCCAUAUCAGUAAGUCUUGUUGCACAGUUGCAGAUAAUGGAUAGCUACCCGCUUUAGAGAAGUACUGGACUAGUUUUCUACUUUGGACAAUUUAACUGGUCUUGUCACCUCAUCAGUAUUUAAGUGUGUUUUUAGUACUAUUUCAGUUCAUAUUAAUUGAUUUGGAAUAACAUUUGAUCUGGUGAUUGUUCUAGCCAUUUAAUAGUAAAUAUAGGGCUAUUUAAGAAUUCCAAGUGAAUUUAACCGUUUAAGGACCAAACUUCUGGAAUAAAAGGGAAUCAUGACAUGUCACAAUUUAGCCAAAUUAAAAAAUACACUUGGAGAAAAUGUUAACAGCUUUUUUGGACUAGAAAUACACAUUGAGUUCACUCUUUGGUGAAUAAUAUUAAUAGUUUAACUAUUAUCCCCGUUAUUCCAUCUCCCUCAUAUCUCUUUCUGCUAAAUAUUUACAUAGCCACUUUGUCUCAAAAUUAUUUCUGUCAUGAGGCUUGUCAGGUCCCACCUUACACUUUUCAGUGCCCUAUUCAAAAUUUAAGAAUUAUUCUGCCCCCCUAAACAUUAUUACUUAUUAUUAUUUAAUCUAAAAAUGUAAAUGUCCAAAAUGAUUCUGUUAUAUAUAGUUAUUUUCUAGGGCAUUAUAUAGAUAACUCAUUGUAAUCAUCCAAAAAAAGUAUAUAAAAUAUACUUCCCUUGGUGUGUGCUUUCCAAACCAAGUGGCUAAAACAUAGACAAACCCAGUCCUUUAUUGUAUAUCUCGUCAUGCCCCCUUAAGCUGCCCCUCUACAUCCCCACUUUAUGUGUGCCUCUUAAAGGGAUUCCGUAGUUUAGGAAUACAAAUCUAUAUUCCUAAUACUAUGUCCCUUCUGGUCACCCCAUCCUCCAUUACCAUGUGGGACAUAAAGUGUCUCUUCCCAUAUCCUCAUAUCUUGUACUAGCCGGCUCUGACUGUCCCUUGCUUGACAUUCUUCACCCUCUCAAUGUGUGGGAACACAGCAUAAUGUAGUGUCCUCACCUCAGAGUCUCAUAUAUUACUGUGCAAUGGUCUUUCCUACCUACUUUGGGCAAGCAGGCUUUGUUAAUCAAUGACUGCAGCACUCACUUGUUAGUAACAAGUUACAGCAGUACCCAUGAUUUGACUGAGCUCUGAAGCAGUGUCCUCUCUCAGAGUGAGUACUAUACAGUCUUGCAGGUAACACAACCCUAAGGCCUGCCUGCAUAAGAUUAAUGUGUAGCUGCUUCCUUAAAAUUGUAAGGGCACAGUGAUUGCAUGCAUAGCUGCUAUAAACAUUGCAGUAAACAAGUUAAGAGAGGUGGAAACAAUAUUUAGGUAAAUAUAGUGUAUUUUUUAUCUAUAUUAGCACGUUACCUUCACCAUGUAUGCAUUACAUGUACCCUAAUCUGAAAAUACAUUUGUAUCCACAUAUUUUGUGGAAGAAAGACCCACUCUUACCAAUAAACAAUCCAUUGAUUAAAUGUUUGACACGCCAUGUUCUAAUUUAUCUCUCCACAUAGUUUCUCAUCGGUUAGUAUACUUCAAAUCAUUAAUGAUGUGUUUUUAGUUAUAUUGUGAGGGCUAUUUAUCCACAGAAUUACAUUAACACUUUCAUCCCCUGUUCACUUCCCAAGCACAUAGUAAUAUUAGCAGCACAGAAUAUAUAUGUGCAUUUAAUCUUUAUGUAGUAAGAGCCUAUUUAAAUUUAUUUAGGAUUUAGAAUAUACCAUGAUACAAAAGAUUACAUUUAAACAAAUAAUUGCCAACAGACACAAAGGUUAUAGUGGAAAAUUUCAUUUAAAAUAUGGAUUGUAGUUAUGUAACAUUUUGCAUUACAUAUGUUCAAAAAAUACUGUGGUUUGCUUGCAAACAAAGUCAAGCAAUUUUAAUUUAUAUAUUCUGUUGUCUCGCUCAAGAAGGGCUUUUAAAAACAAGUGCAAAAGCAAUGUUCCUCCACCAAUCUGAUCAAUUAUAGCGCUUAUUUUUUUCUAAAACCAAAGUUUUGUGGAGGUAUGGAAUCUUAAGCAUGUACAUUUGUAAAUUUUGCAAAGUGCUCUUUACACAGUUCAAGUAUGCUUAAUAGCUAUUUUUAUGUUUGCACUUACAUGGGUUAACCCCUUCAUUGUCAAGUGUUUUUGUUUAGAAAAAAAAUCAGUGUAACAUUUAUUUUAAAAAUAGGAUGAAUAGCUAGUACAGCAUACAGGACAACAUGUGGGUGUAAAUAAUGUUAGCAUUUACAGUACCUCUCUAAUUUUUUCUAACUUUUUCCAAAGUGCAUGGAAAGGUAUUUGGGACCUGAUGGGCUAAAUACAAUUUACCAAUGAAGGGUUAGGGGUAAGGAGCUGCUGUAGAACAUUAUAAGACCUGUAACAGUACUAUAUUUUCUUUGAUUUUAUUUCACUAUAUGUUGUUUAUGUGUAUGUAAUAAUGUAUGUGGGAGAAAAUAGAAUUCACUUAGAUAUAAUCCUAAAUGUUUACUGCAAUCAUUACUUUUAAACUCUUUUGUUUGAAAUAUAACGUGACUGAAAUUAAUGUGUGAGUUUAAUUUCAGGUAGACCUCAAUUACAGACUGUAUCAUAGAAUAGUGAUGGUGACAAAAAAAAGGGAAAUAUUUGGUGUAUUGUUUACAAAAUUGUUUAUAAUUGAUUCAUAUGAAGUUUAAUUAGUGUGCAAAAGAGAGGCCUUUAAAUCUGGCACCCGUGAUAUAAAUGUAUUAUGAAAUUUGCAGUUUACAUUCAACAAUUCUUUACAAUUUUCCUAUAUUGUUUGAAUUUAUAAUGUUUACAUACACAUAUUCAUGUUCAAAAGAUUGCUUAACAAUUCCACUGCCAGGUUUUGCUAGAAUUUUCCUUCCUUUUUUGCACUAAAGGUUUUAGAACAAGAAUUUUUUUUACUAACCUUGUUAGUGUCAAAGUGUCAAAUUAUUUUUAAAUCUUCAUUAGAGACAGUGCAAACCACUGUUCAUUCCUCUAGUCCUAUAUCAACUCAUUAAUCAAGUGGAAAUAAAGUUAUUUUAUAACCUUAUUGAUUAAAAUGUUUUGUUCAUAUUGCAUAUCGUGUAUACUCCAGCUUAAAUUUGUUGUGAAACAUUAAUGAAAUAUUAAUAUUUUUACAGAAAGCUUGUUUUUCUUUGCCUAUUUCCCAAUACUUUUUGAUAUAUAAUUCUGGUGUUUUCUUGUAAUAUAUCAAAUGAUUUGCACCAUUAGUUUGAGUACCCACUAUCUUAAUGUGUUUAUUAUAUAACUGGUUAUAUUAAAAACUGUGCUGUUUCUAUAUUCCCUUUUCAGAUGUGAAUCUAAGAUUGGUACUAAAUACUAUUUGAUAUAGCACUUUUUAUAACUGAAUUAACACAAAAAUACAAUCUUCCAGACCAGUAGGGCAACUUUUAUAGAAAUUACCUAACAAGUAAAUAGAAAGGCAUGAUAAACUAAAUUUACAAAAAUGGUGUGAUUUAAAAAUGCUUUAAAUAUAACAGGAUAUAAUAGAAUGAGAAUUAGAUUGUCAUUGAGAACUAAGGUAAGAAAAUGUUUGUACAUAUGUGAAGUAUUCUGCGUAAUAAAUA